rnacentral:rRNA from 1 species
UACGAAGGGGGCUAGCGUUGCUCGGAAUCACUGGGCGUAAAGCGCACGUAGGCGGAUUGUUAAGUCAGGGGUGAAAUCCUGGAGCUCAACUCCAGAACUGCCUUUGAUACUGGAGAGCUUGAGUCCGGAAGAGGUGAGUGGAACUCCGAGUGUAGAGGUGAAAUUCGUAGAUAUUCGGAAGAACACCAGUGGCGAAGGCGGCUCACUGGUCCGGUACUGACGCUGAUGUGCGAAAGCGUGGGGAGCAAACAGG